UCAAUUGUGUCCGCCUCACAAUGAGUGCCAUGGGAGCUGAGAGAAGGGAGAGGCGAGUGUGGGCUGGAGCGAUUGAAGAGAUCUCAGGCACCAGGAGGCUGCGGAGUGAAAGGGACCACUAUCGGAAGCCAUGAGAGCCGUAGACACAAGAGCCCACAUCUCUACCCUUCCUGCCCUAGUAGAGCGACCCCUGGGGAGGCCUCUCGUCCUGGAUUUCCAAGAGACCAAGCCCAAGAAGUGGGCAGAGCAUCAUGGUGGAAAGGAGGCUGCAGUGUUCAGAUGGCUAUCCCAUGGCGGCCAGGAAGCAGCAAGGAAGAGAAACCAGGAGGAGCCAAGGUGGGACAUACCCUUCAAAGACGAACUCCUCCAGUGAUCCACUCCUCCAACCGAACUUACCUCCCAACAGCCCACUCAUCGUGAAUUCACUGUUGGGUGAACACAUUGAUUCAGUUAGUGGCCUCCAUGUUCUCUGCCUCGCAAUGGCUGAAUCUACUAUCCGAGGACCAAGCUUCCAAAACGGGAGUCUUUAGGGGGACAUUUUAUAUACAAACCUUACCAAGAGGAAAGAAUAAAAGAUAGGUGCCUCA